rnacentral:tRNA from 1 species
GGAUAUGUGCCCGAAAGCCAGGAUUUACUUUGAUAAAGUAAAAUAUAGGGGUUCAAACCCCCUCAUUUCCU